GGACCUCGCCCUGCCUGUGCAGUGUCAUGGUAUCCAGAGUGAUUUCUGCAUUUGCUCGGCAUCUCAGAACCACAGAGUCGCCUUCAAACACGAAGGGGGGAGCCUGCAGGAUCAGAGUGAACACGUGUCCUGAGAAGACUCGGAAAGCAGAAAUACCGUAUUGUUGUAAGGAAGUAAACUGGAGGGAAAUGUUAUUAAGAAAAUCAUCAGGAAGAGAAAAUACAUUUACAGUCCUGUCCUGUAGAAAGUCUGCUGGGAAGGGGACCCAUGCAUUUCAACCCCGUGGCAUUCAUGGGUCAGCUGUACCUCUGUCUGUCUGUCUGCCUAUCCAUCUGAAAAAUCCUCAUGCUGCUUAUUAUUCAAAAUAAAUUUUAUAAGUUUGAAACUA